CACGUAGGGGGCAAGCGUUGUCCGGAAUUAUUGGGCGUAAAGAGCGCGUAGGCGGUCCGAUAAGUCGGCUGUGAAAGUCAGGGGCUCAACCCUUGAAAGCCGGCCGAUACUGUCGGACUAGAGUCCGGAAGAGGCGAGUGGAAUUCCCGGUGUAGCGGUGAAAUGCGCAGAUAUCGGGAGGAACACCAGUGGCGAAGGCGGGCACCUGGGCUAACACUGACGCUGAGGCGCGAAAGCUAGGGGAGCAAACAGG
rnacentral:rRNA from 1 species